rfam:Danio rerio chromosome 4, GRCz11 reference primary assembly.
GUGGGCUACGGAGACAUGUACCCUGUGACUAUCGGGGGCAAGAUAGUAGGCUCUCUAUGUGCCAUAGCUGGAGUGCUAACCAUUGCGCUUCCGGUGCCUGUGAUUGUGUCCAAC